rnacentral:tRNA from 1 species
AGCUAAUCAAUGAAAAAGCUGCGGACUUUUAAUCCUUAGGUUCCGGGUUCGAGUCCCGG